AAAAAGAGGAAUAAAAACCGGGAAAAGAUCUUAACAGCUGAAUACAGCAGAAAGAAAGAAAUAUUGUGCGUUUAUAAAGUAAAAGUGUGUUAAGUGCCAAUCUCAAUUGAUUGGCGGUUAGUACCGGCUUAAACUUCGGGCAAUCGUUUGGGUACCUGUCUGAACCCCAAUACGAAAGCUCGCAACAACAAUUUCCCCGAUAUUAGGGCCUCCGCCCGCGGCAAGGGACUUAUGCUCCUCGCCCAACUACAGCUCCGUACCAAAAAAAUUCCCAGCGCUAGGCCGAGCAGCACAAAGCGGGAGGCGUAAAAGAUCGGCUCAUCAGUCGCUUUGCGGGCGCGAGCCACUUAUGUGUCACGGACCCGCGAUAUAUUGGAGGCCGUCCAAUUCUGCGGAAAUUAUUAAAGCUAUGUAAACGGUCAGCCAAUUUCUACCCGAAAUAUAGAUCUGGGUCUCGACCUAUUUUCGUUUCCCCAUACGAAGUGCCGAGGAGUGCCCAGAUGUGAAGCCGGCGGCAACGACUGUCGUUUUUUUUUUAUAUCCAUCAGUGUAACCGCUGAUUCCUAUUUUUAUGCUAUAGUGUCAUUAGUGUAAUUAGCUUAGUAAAUUUCUUUUGGUUGUGUUUUUAAAUUCUGUUCGGAAGAAAUAGCAAGUGGAAUGUGUGACAGGGCGAAAGUGAACAACGGUUAAACGGCAGAGGAGAGCGUGAGUUUUUUUUUGUAAAAGUAUUUCUCCAGCUUUCGUUUUAGGAACGUUGCCGCAGUCCAUGGAAGCGCUUUCAUCGCUGUUUCAACGCAUUUAUUAAAACAAAUCAAAGGAAGGCCGUAAGUGAUCCCAAA